UGCGUAGGCGGAAUAUUAAGUCAGUGGUGAAAUCCUGCAGCUUAACUGUAGAACUGUCAUUGAUACUGGUUUUCUUGAAUACAGUUGAGGUAGGCGGAAUGUGUAAUGUAGCGGUGAAAUGCUUAGAUAUUACACAGAACACCGAUUGCGAAGGCAGCUUACUAAACUGUUAUUGACGCUGAGGUACGAAAGCGUGGGGAGCGAACAGGAUUAGAUACCCUGGUAGUCC
rnacentral:rRNA from 1 species